CCAGCUACUGUCGCUGUGCGCUUUGGGCGGAAGGGCGGCUUCAAGGCGGGCUUGCGCCCUAUAAAAGCCGCCCCAUAGGCGCCCUAUAGACGCUUAGGGCUUAGAUUGCAGCCCCACAGCUCCAGCCCGCCCCAUAACCACCCCACAGCCAGCCCUAUGGUAGCAAGUCAAUAGCCAGCCCAUAGCAGCACCUAUAAACCGUCCCUAUAACCAUAACCCCCCCACUUGCCCUUUAUGGGAUGAGGCGGAGCCAUUUUCAACACCCCCCCCUCCGGUGGGCCCCCACCGCAGUAAUUGCCCCUUUAAGGCGACGCCAGCGUGGUCCAUGGCGCCUCCUUUGGAGCCAUCAGAGCAGAGAGGGGCGUGGCAUAAGCGGUGGGGGGGAGGGGGCGUGGCCAUCGAGGACCGGGGGGGGGGGGGGGAGGGUCAGUUCGUGCUCAGCUGAGAGAGAGAAGGAAGGCGCGAUGCCGUUGGCCCGCUCCAUGUCCAUCAGCUCCUUACCCGGCCUGGAUGAAUGGGAGGGGCCCCCCGACAACGCCGUCCUGUUCGAGGUGGCCUGGGAAGUGGCCAAUAAAGGUCAGUGACCCCUCGUAACCUCCUUCCUGUGACCUUUGACCCCGACGUGACCCCACCGUGACCCCAUUGCAGGCCUUGGGGUCACACUUAGGCCCCAUUGUAGGCCUUGGGGUCACACUUAGGCCCCAUUGUAGGCCUUGGGGUCCCCCUUAGGCCCCAUUGUAGGCCUUGGGGUCACACUUAGGCCCCAUUGUAUUCCUUGGGGUCACACUUAGGCCCCAUUGUAGGCCUUGGGGUCACACUUAAGCCCCAUUGUAGGCCUUGGGGUCACACAUAGGCCCCAUUGUAGGCCUUGGGGCCACACUUAGGCCCCAUUGUAGGCCUUGGGGUCCCCCUUAGGCCCCAUUGUAGGCCUUGGGGCCACACUUAGGCCCCAUUGUAGGCCUUGGGGUCACACUUAGGCCCCAGUGUCCUAUGGGUCUCAAGGCCCCAUUGUAGGCCUUGGGGGUCACCCUUAGGCCCCAUUGUAGGCCUUGGGGGUUACACUUAGGCCCCAUUGUAGGCCUUGGGGUCACACUUAGGCCCCAUUGUAGGCCUUGGGGUCACACUUAGGCCCCAUUGUAGGUCUUGGGGUCACACUUAGGCCCCAUUGUAGGCCUUGGGAUCACCCUUAGGCCCCAUUGUAGGCCUUGGGGUCACACUUAGGCCCCAUUGUAGGCCUUUGGG
rnacentral:lncRNA from 1 species